rnacentral:tRNA from 1 species
UCUUUCGUGGUGUGGUAACACACUCGGUUCGUAUUCGAGAGGUCCAGGUUCGAGUCCCAGCGAGGGUA